CAGUCCCUCAGGAUCACUCUACAAUUAAUUACUAGAGAAAGUGUCUCUGAUUGUGUAGAUCACCUUGAAAGUAUGAGGAGGAUUCAGAGCAACCUCUUUGGAAUGUGAAGCUGGCUCUAAAUGUUAUUUUUGCAACUGUAUUUUACCAUUGAUGAUCCUUCUUUUCUUUUUUUAGAGGAUUAAGAGGGAGAAGAAGAAGUCUGAGUGAU